rnacentral:tRNA from 2 species
GGUGCGGUAGUUCAGUCGGUUAGAAUACCGGCCUGUCACGCCGGGGGGCGCGGGUUCGAGUCCCGUCCGCACCG